AAUUCUCAACCUGCCGUACUUUCACAAGUUCGUUAGGCUUGGAUUAUGGGACUUGCUGGUUUUUCCAAAAUCAGCUCUCCUCAAAUGCAUUAGCAUAAUCUCUGCUGACCAUCUUUGGUAUGAUAAUUAUCUAUACUAUUGAGAGUUAGUUUUCCGCCUUGGAAGGAUUUUGCUUCUAAUUGUCUUUGCAGACAACUUGACA
rnacentral:misc_RNA from 1 species